rnacentral:rRNA from 1 species
UACAGAGACUGCAAGCGUUAUUCGGAUUCACUGGGCGUAAAGGGUGCGCAGGCGGCCGUGUGUGUGAGGCGUGAAAGCCCGGGGCUUAACCCCGGAAUUGCACCUCAAACUACACGGCUAGAGCAUUGGAGAGGGUAGCAGAAUUCACGGUGUAGCAGUGAAAUGCGUAGAUAUCGUGAGGAAUACCAGAGGCGAGGGCGGCUACCUGGACAAUUGCUGACGCUCAGGCACGAAAGCGUGGGGAGCAAAAGGG